CCUACGGUAGGCAGCAGUGAGGAAUAUUGGUCAAUGGGCGCGAGCCUGAACCAGCCAAGUAGCGUGAAGGAUGACUGCCCUACGGGUUGUAAACUUCUUUUAUAAAGGAAUAAAGUGAGGCACGUGUGCCUUUUUGUAUGUACUUUAUGAAUAAGGAUCGGCUAACUUCGUGCCAGCAGCCGCGGUAAUACGGAGGAUCCGAGCGUUAUCCGGAUUUAUGUGGUUUAAAGGUAGCGUAGAUGGGUUGUUAAGUCAGUUGUGAAAGUUUGCUGCUCAACCGUAAAAUUGCAAUUGAUACUGGCAGCCUUGAGUACAGUUGAGGUAGGCGGAAUUCGUGGUGUAGCGGUGAGAUGCUUAGAUAUCACGAAGAACUCCGAUUGCGAAGGCAGCCUACUAAACUGCCACUGACAUUGAUGCUCGAAAGUGUGGGUAUCAAACAGGAUUAGAGACCCCUGUAGUC
rnacentral:rRNA from 1 species